rnacentral:piRNA from 1 species
UAGCUGUGGAGGAAAUUUGGGCAUAAG